UGUAUGGGAAUGAUGUGAUUGUAUACAAUA
rnacentral:piRNA from 1 species